GUAAUAUUUGUACUGUCUAUGAAGGAAUAACAUCAAAAAUAUGGUGCACACUGAAUAACCCGCGCAGCGGGUUAUUUCUAAGUGUGCACCACAUUUUUAUGUUUUUUCGAAUAGACAGGAAAAAAUUACACUCAUUUCUUAUAAUUGAAUUCUAUAUUCCAAUUUAAACCGUAGUAAACAUGAAAAUACGUCGAUGACGUCACGGUCACAUGACAAAAUUAUGUCUGUGAGCGGAUAAACAAAACAACGUCAGCCAAUCAGAAGACGCGUUAUAUCCAAAAUUAUUUUUUUACGUAAUACUAGUUAUAACUGUUAUGACAGGUUUUGUCAAUUUAUCCGUCUGUUAGUUUCCAUUUUAUUAUCACUCAGAAUGAACGUUCAAUUUCUAUCGAUCGUGACCUUCAAACUAAGACAAAUAUACCUUCAAAGUUCACGUAUAAUUUCGAUAACAGUAAGAACUGACAAUCUGAGCUUUAAUCUUAGAGGAAGACUACCUUAAUGACUGCUUUAUCAAUCGUGUUUCUUGUGUGUUUUCUUCUGUUAUUUUAAUAGUUAUGAAAUAGUAAGAUCACAUAUAUAUUGAACUCGGAGAAAA
rnacentral:lncRNA from 1 species